ensembl:processed_transcript
AGUCAUUGACAAGGACAUCGUCAUGGACCAGUGGUGAAGAGCCUCGAGAGAAGGUUAAUUUUUCGAAAGGAGAAGUCCACUAUUUCAGCUUCAUCAUUCAGCCUGGAAACUGAACUGCAUCAUAAAACUUGUGCUUGAAAAGUGUCAUGGGACCCAUAUUAAGUUUCCAAAUUUGAUCUGCUGCACACAAGUAGCUUUGAAGAAGAAGGAUCCCAGCUUAAAGAAAAACACAUCACAUCCAUAAUUGUUUGACAUCAUCUUCAAGCACACCUGGAUUCCUUGUUGCAAUGUCUUCAAAACAAAUGUAAAAAUUAAAGGAUUUCAGUGGUGAGCUCAUAAUGAUGGGAUCAAAAGGAAGUGAACUGGACUCUGAGGGACUUAACACAAGAUUGUGAUGGACCUAGAAUGCGACACCGUUUACGAAUAAGUCAAGAACCAAAUGAAACACUAUUUUCCAGAGCGCAGAUUAUGGAGGGGUCUGCAAAACUAAUGGAGCAGUUUUUUCUUCUUGGAGUGCCACAGCUUAAAUCCAAAGGUCCUAACAGCUCUCCUGAUUCCGUCAAGGCUUGAAGUGUCAGCAUUACGAUGGCCAACACUCGCUCACUAUCCUUCUGCUCCCUCAUUUAUCAGAGGCACCACAGUAGAAUGAAUUAGCAAUUACUCUUCACUUUCCAGCUGCAACCCAGCACUGGGAAACACCCAUACACUUUCUCAUACACCUGCACACAUUCACUCACUGUGGCCAAUUCACCAAUACCGUACGCAUGCUUUUGGACUGUGGGGGCAACUGGAGCACCCAGAGGAAACCCACACAAACACUGGGAGAACUUGCAAACUUCACACAGAAACACCA